CACGUAGGCACCAAGCGUUGUCCGGAUUUAUUGGGCGUAAAGAGCUCGUAGGCGGUUCAGUAAGUCGGGUGUGAAAACUUGGGGCUUAACCCUGAGCUUGCGGUCGAUACGGGCAUGACUGGAGUUCGGCAGGGGAGACUGGAAUUCCUGGUGUAGCGGUGAAAUGCGCAGAUAUCAGGAGGAACACCGGUGGCGAAGGCGGGUCUCUGGGCCGAUACUGACGCUGAGGAGCGAAAGCGUGGGGAGCGAACAGG
rnacentral:rRNA from 1 species